rnacentral:rRNA from 1 species
UACGUAGGGUGCGAGCGUUGCCCGGAUUUAUUGGGCGUAAAGGGCGCGUAGGCGGCCACGCACGUCCGUUGUGAAAUCGCCCGGCUCAACUGGGCGGGGUCAGCGGAUACGGCGCGGCUGGAGCAAGCUAGGGGGCAAUGGAAUUCCCGGUGUAGUGGUGGAAUGCGUAGAUAUCGGGAGGAACACCAGUGGCGAAGGCGGUUGCCUGGAGCUUUGCUGACGCUGAUGCGCGAAAGCGUGGGGAGCGAGUCCGG